GUUUCCAUUGCAUGCACACAAAUUUUGAAUGGUAUUUUCGUUCCCAUAGCAAAUACACAAAAGCUAGAUGGCUGAUAUCAUGCAAAACAUAAAUCGUUACAUAAAGUUGCAUAAACACCUACACCGUACAUCAUAAUUAAUGAAAAAUUAGUAUGGGCUCAACCAACAGCCGCAUGCAUAAACAAAGAAUUGGAGGAGGUCAUCGGAGGACGCCGCCGCCGAGGCCAUCAGAUCGAAGGAGUUGGUCAUCGAAGGACACCGGAGCCAACCACGCCUCAUGUGGCCACCACCGCUGGAGACGACCGCGCCUCACGCACCCGUCGGAGCUACCCGCGUGUCCCAUGGCCACCACCGUCACUGCCGAAGCCUAUCGUGCCUCGCACAAUCACCGUUACCACCGAGCCUAGGGUGCGACGCCGCCACUCGUUCGACUCGGGACUGCCGUCGCCGCUUGCCCGCCCGCCUCUGGAGCGUCGCCAUCACUCAGUCUUAGGGGAGAACCACCGCUGCCUGCCCGCUGCCUCGGGAGCGUCGGCGUGGGUCACCCACCUCGGGGCACCACCGCCGCCCGCCCCCGAUAUCUCCACCGCUUGCACGCCCGAGGGAACCGCGGUCACCGCUAAAAACUAAUGGCUGGAAGCCUAGGGUGUUUUUAUAGCCACCCAAACUUGAUGCGGCUGAACCAGAUGGCAUUGUUGGGUCAG
rnacentral:lncRNA from 1 species